AAAAAGGUUCUUUUAAGAGCCACACAUAUAUCUAAAAGAGAGUUUG
rnacentral:ncRNA from 1 species